CAGCCCUUACCCGCCGCGCUCCCCCACCAGGUGGCACGGCCCCCCGCCGCCGCGCGCGCCCCAGCCGCCCCGGGGCCCCGCGCUCCUUACCAGCUGCUCCUGCAGCGCCGCCAGCGCCGCCUCCAGCCGCAGCUCGCGCGCGCGGGGGCCGCGGGGGUGCUCGGGGCGCGCGGGCCCGGCCGGGGGGUGCAGGGCCAGGGCGCCCCGCACGCGCGCCUGCUGCGUGUCGCGCAGCCCCUGCAGCUCGUGCAGCCCCGCGAGCGCCGCGCGCAGCCGGGCGCCCACCCUGCGGCGGUCCCAGCCCGCGGGCCCCGGCGGGCCCCCCGGCGCCCACAUCCCGCGCCCGGCCCGCCCCGCGCCUGUCCGGCCUCCCCCGGCCUCCCGGAGCCUCCUCCGAGCCUCCCGGCCGCGCGCGCGGCCUCCUGCGCCGCCUCUCCCCGCCCCCGCCCCGCAGGUCGCCAAGGUGGGGUGGGACCUAUCGGUGGCCGCGGAGGGCGGUGUUUGCGCACGCCCCGAGGUCACAGCGGCCGCCCCCGGGCCCGCCCCGUCGACGGAGCCCCGCGCCCUCGGGGACCCUGGGACCCAAGCUCUCCCUGGAGGCCGGAGGGGACCGAAGGAAAAGGGGGAGCCCAGCAGCAGAGCCGCAAAGGGCCGGAGGGGGAACACGGUGAAAGACCUCAGAGUGGCACUGAUGGGUCGUAGGUAACUACUGAGAGCCACCUCUUGAAGGACGACCAGACUGCUUUCUGAAGCGGCUGCGCCAUUUUGCAUUGUCACCGGCACCGUAUGGAGGGUCCAGUUCUGCCACGCGGAGGCCGGCAUUUGUCCUUCUGGCUACAACCGUCUGUGCUCGGAGCUCAUUUGUGGUGACAAGAACUUGUACCUGGAGAAACACUGGGUCCUGCCCCAUCUUAGAUUGUGUGCACAGUCUUAACGCUGAGAACAAAGCGUGGGGUUGCCUUUCCUGCUUGGACGACAUCUGUGUUCGGCACUUUCUGCAGAGGACAGUGAGCGCGACUCUCGUGGACUGGCUUUCGAGAGGGGAAGUCGUGGAUACAAUCUCAGGGUGUCCUAGAAUAUGAGAGAGAAAAGGAACUUUAGCGACCAUGUCUAUUGUCUAUUGUCACCAUUGUCUCCUGUCCCUCGUGUCAGAGGUGGGAAAGAGGCCCGAAGAGUUCAUUUUAACUGACUUGUCUAACCCUCUCCCCAUUUCUCAUUGUGAAAUCAGGACAAUAGUGGACUCUGUUCUCUCUCACACACAAGAGAAAUGUGUCCUCUAUCACAGGUGCCCCCUGAGAAUGGGUUUGAGCCCAGGGGACACUUUUGGGCCCAGCGGGAAGGACUGACUUAGGUCUUCACAUUGGGUUUGCACCCUGGCCCCAGGCUCCCUCACAGACGGUCUGUAUUAUUUUUGGCUUUCUCACCGUUCACCUUAUUCCUGUUUUAUUGCUCCUAUCCUUCAUUUUCCAUGAACUUGAAAUCCUUGUCCAUUUUUGAGGAACUUUAUCUUUCUCUGUUUACACCCGGAGAGAACAUGGUUUCCUGGGUUCCUGGAGAGCCAGUCAGAAUCUGGGUGUGUUUGUCGGGAAUCCAGCGUCCUCAGCCAAUGCGUCUGACUCUCCCAACCGGCAAACCUGCUGCUACUUGUUAUUUUUCACUACGUAAGCAACAUCCUCCACGUUUUGUCACAUAAGGACACAGACCGGCCAAAAAGAGGGAGAGCUUUUGAGUUUUACCCCUUUAUCAUCUGUUCUUUUUCUUUUUAAAAAAAUUUUUUUAAUGUUUAUUUUACUUUUGAGAGAGAGAGAGAGAGAGCAUAAGCAGGGA